CGUUCUAUGGCAGAAUUGGUAAAGGCAUCACAGAUCUCAGGUGAGGUUGCGGGUUCGAGUCCCACUGAAACGG
rfam:Operophtera brumata OBRT01_Sc21269, whole genome shotgun sequence.